rnacentral:tRNA from 1 species
CUGGGUGUGGCGCAGCUUGGCUAGCGCGUUAGCUUGGGGUGCUAAAGGUCGGAGGUUCAAAUCCUCUCACUCAGA